rnacentral:rRNA from 1 species
AGGGAGCGAGCGUUAUCCGGAUUUAUUGGGUGUAAAGGGUGCGUAGACGGGUAAACAAGUUAGUUGUGAAAUCCCUCGGCUUAACUGAGGAACUGCAACUAAAACUGUAUAUCUUGAGUGCGGGAGAGGUAAGUGGAAUUCCUAGUGUGGCGGUGAAAUGCGUAGAUAUUAGGAGGAACACCAGUGGCGAAGGCGACUUACUGGACCGUAACUGACGUUGAGGCACGAAAGUGUGGGGAGCAA